GACGGCGCCCCCAGCGGAGCGGGAAGUCCCGCCCACACCGUCUCGUUCCCGCGCGGAAACGCCCUUGCAAGUCCUUGGCCACGCCGCGUGGGCGGGUGCGGGGCAUUGUGGGUGAUGUAGUUCUCGCGGCCCCGCCCGCCGCCGGGGAGGGCCCGUCCCGCCAGGACCUGGAGUCCUGGAAGCCGUGGCAGCAGCGGGGGUCCAGGCAGCGGUCUGCCCUGGCGGCCGCCCCACACAGGAAUUCAAGCCGCCUCCUCCGUCCUGAGCUCUGCCUACACGGAAAUCCACAAGUAUGACAAGAGAGAAGACAGUGAGUAAAAGGAGAAAA
rnacentral:lncRNA from 1 species